GAAGCUACCAUCUGUGAGAUUAUGACUGAAGGCCUCUAAGUCAGAAUCCCACCCAGGC
rnacentral:rRNA from 1 species